rnacentral:rRNA from 1 species
AUUGAACGCUGGCGGCAGGCCUAACACAUGCAAGUCGAGCGGAUGAAGGGAGCUUGCUCCUGGAUUCAGCGGCGGCCGGGUGAGUAAUGCCUAGGAAUCUGCCUUAUCGUGGGGGAUCACGUCCGGAUACGGGCGCUGAUACCGCAUGCGUCCUGAGGGAGAAGGAGGGGGAUCUUCGGACCUCACGCUAUCAGAUUAGCGUAGGUCGGAUUCGCUAGUUGGUGGGGUAACGGCCUACAAAGGCGACUAUCCGUAACUGGUCUGAGAGGAUGAUCAGGCACACUGGAACUGAGACACGGUCCAGACUCCUACGGGAGGCAGCAGUGGGGAAUAUUGGACGAUGGGCGAAAGCCUGAUCCAGCCAUGCCGCGUGUGUGAAGAAGGUCUUCGGAUUGUAAAGCACUUUAAGUUGGGAGGAAGGGCAGUAAGUUAAUACCUUGCUGUUUUGACGUUACCAACAGAAUAAGCACCGGCUAACUUCGUG